rnacentral:rRNA from 1 species
AUUGAACGCUGGCGGCAGGCCUAACACAUGCAAGUCGAGCGAGCGGCGGACGGGUGAGUAAUAUCUGGGAAACUGCCUGAUGGAGGGGGAUAACUACUGGAAACGGUAGCUAAUACCGCAUACCAUCAGAUGUGCCCAGAUGGGAGUAGCUAGUAGGUGGGGUCAUGGCUCACCGCGGCGACGAUCCCUCGCUGGUCUGAGAGGAUGACCAGCCACACUGGAACUGAGACACUGUCUAGACUCCUACGGGAGGCAGCAGUGGGGAAUAUUGCACAAUGGGCGCAAGACUGAGGCAGCCAUGCCGCGUGUGUGAAGAAGGCCUUCGGGUUGUAAAGCACUUUCAGCGGGGAGGCGUUACCCGCAGAAGAAGCACCGGCUAACUCCGUGCCAGCAGCCGCGGUAAUUC